CAAGACAUUGCCAAAAUUACUUUUAUUCUUAAUCUGCUAACAGCUUCUUACUGCUAUCUGGCAGCCACAUGAAGAACUCUACUGAAACUACUCUCACCAAGAUUACAGAUGACCUACUUGCUGCAAAAUCAACAGUUUUAGAUCCUGAAUCACGGACUGAAGGAAAGGCUGGAUCCUCAUGAGGAAGCCUCUUGUAACACCAUAGCAGGUAUACGUAACAAUCCCCCUAAAGCAACCUAUGACCAUUUAUGCAAGUAAGGUAGGGAAUACUCAGAUUUUUUGAAAACUGUUGAACAUGGGGCUUAGGUUGAGGUUGAUACCCUAGGAUCCAAAAUAUCACAAGACUCCUUGUCCGAGAGAGAGAGGCAUAUGUGGAUCAGCUUUAAAAAAUGGAAUCCUGGCCCAGGUCCAGCUCACUGGGUCCACACAUCCAUCUGGUAGUCAUUUUUCCAGUCCCUGAUAUACAGUCAGAAUGGUACACUUGGUAGUUUGCAGAAUGCCUGCAGCUGUCCCUUGUCCUGAGGGUAACAGCUAACAUAGUAGGAAACACUAAAUUGAAGUUCUGAAAUGGGCUUCCCUCACACCCCUGCCCCCACCACCAGCCAAGAUAAUAAAUUAAAAAAAAUCACAUCCCAGGAGAAACAUCAGAGAACAUCACCCUUCAAAACCUGCAGGAUUCGGGGAUGGUGGUUACCAUUAUAUCUUUAUUUAAUUUACCAGUCUGAUCUUUAAAAAAUAGAUAGACCUUGACUGAUGAUAACAGUUCACCACAAACUUAGGCAAAU
rnacentral:lncRNA from 1 species